AUUCUAAUCACUCUAAUGGGCCGCCACAUAAAAUCCCUGGAGAAGAUGUGUGCUGACUUGGUCAGAGGAGCAAAGGAAAAGAAUCCCAAAGUGAAAGGACUGGUUCGGAUGCCUACCAAGACUUUGAGAAUCACUAUAAGAAAAACUCCUUGUGAUGAAGGUUCUAAGACGUGGGAUUGUUUUUGGAUGAGAAUCCACAAGCGACUCAUUGACUUGCAGAGCCUUUCUGAGAUUGUUAAGCAGAUUACUUCCAUUAAUAUUGAGCCAGGAGUUGAGGUGGAUGCCAUCAUUGCAGAUGCUUAA
rnacentral:lncRNA from 1 species